UACGUAGGUGACAAGCGUUGUCCGGAUUUACUGGGCGUAAAGAGCGCGCAGGCGGUCGAUCAAGUCGAGUGUGAAAGCCCCCGGCUCAACUGGGGAGGGUCAUUCGAUACUGAUCGACUCGAAGGCAGGAGAGGGUAGUGGAAUUCCCGGUGUAGUGGUGAAAUGCGUAGAUAUCGGGAGGAACACCAGUGGCGAAGGCGGCUCACUGGCCCGGUACUGACGCUGAGGUGCGAAAGCGUGGGGAGCAACAGG
rnacentral:rRNA from 1 species